GACGAACCGUCCAAACGGUAUUCGGUAUCACUGGGCUUAAAGGGUGCGUAGGCGGUCUGGUAAGUUGGGUGUGAAAUCCCUCGGCUCAACCGAGGAAUUGCGCCCAAUACUGCCGGACUUGAGGGAGGCAGAGGUAAGCGGAACUUGCGGUGGAGCGGUGAAAUGCAUUGAUAUCGCAGGGAACACCAGUGGCGAAGGCGGCUUACUGGGCCUUUUCUGACGCUGAGGCACGAAAGCUAGGGGAGCGAACGGG
rnacentral:rRNA from 1 species